GCUGGAAAUCCAAGAUGCUCCUUUUGUAGAGACAUUGAAACGUCUCAACAUCUGUUCUUUACCUGUCUCGUGGCUCGGGUGGUCUGGAGGACGGUGGGUUGUGUGUUGGGCACAGACUUGUGCCCAAAUAACAUAUGGCAAUAUUUCUUCUGGUGUUAUGUAUUCCUACCUCAUGGAGCCAGGUUCUAUACCUUUGGCCUAGCAGCCAUAUGCUGGGCUAUUUGGAAUAGCCGCAACCAGGCUACUUUCGAACACAAACAACUUAAGACACCAUUUAAUGUGGUGUACACUGCCUGUGGUUUUUUGACAUAUUGGGCAGGCUUGAUGACAGGUGCUAAUCGGGAGGCAAUGGAGCGUGGUGCCAAGAUGCUCAAGACGAACGCUUCUGCGAUGAUGCGGAUUUGUGCAGCUCCAGCCAGGGCGACGAUGGAUUGA
rnacentral:rRNA from 1 species